rnacentral:rRNA from 1 species
AACGAACGCUGGCGGCAGGCCUAACACAUGCAAGUCGAGCGAGGACUUCGGUCCUAGCGGCGGACGGGUGAGUAACGCGUGGGAACGUGCCCCUUGAUACAGAAUAGCCCCGGGAAACUGGGAGUAAUACCGUAUGAGCUCUACGGAGGAAAGAUUUAUCGCCAAGGGAUCGGCCCGCGUUGGAUUAGGUAGUUGGUGGGGUAAUGGCCUACCAAGCCGACGAUCCAUAGCUGGUUUGAGAGGAUGAUCAGCCACACUGGGACUGAGACACGGCCCAGACUCCUACGGGAGGCAGCAGUGGGGAAUCUUAGACAAUGGGCGCAAGCCUGAUCUAGCCAUGCCGCGUGAGCGAUGAAGGCCUUAGGGUUGUAAAGCUCUUUCAGCGAGGAAGAUAAUGACUGUACUCGCAGAAGAAGCCCCGGCUAACUCCGUGCCAGCAGCCGCAGUAA